rnacentral:rRNA from 1 species
GCCUAACACAUGCAAGUCGAACGGUAACAGGAUACAGCUUGCUGUUUCUCUGACGAGUGGCGGACGGGUGAGUAAUGUCUGGGAAACUGCCUGAUGGAGGGGGAUAACUACUGGAAACGGUAGCUAAUACCGCAUAACGUCGCAAGACCAAAGAGGGGGACCUUCGGGCCUCUUGCCAUCGGAUGUGCCCAGAUGGGAUUAGCUAGUAGGUGGGGUAACGGCUCACCUAGGCGACGAUCCCUAGCUGGUCUGAGAGGAUGACCAGCCACACUGGAACUGACACACAGUCCAGACUCCUACGGGAGGCAGGCAGUGGGGAAUAUUGCACAAUGGGCGCAAGCCUGAUGCAGCCAUGCCGCGUGUAUGAAGAAGGCCUGCGGGAUGUAAAGUACUUUCAGCGGGGAGGAAGGGAGUAUGAGUUAAUACCUUUACUCAUUGACGUUACGCACGAAUAAAGCACCGGCUAACUCCGGGCCACCCCCCGCCGGUAAAACGGAAGAGUGCAGCCGUUAACUCGAAUUACUGGGCUGAAAGCGCACGCAGGCGGGUUGUUAAGUCAGAUGUGAAAUCCCCGGGCUCAACCUGGGAACUGCAUCUGAUACUGGCAAGCUUGAGUCUCGUAGAGGGGGGUAGAAUUCCAGGUGUAGCGGUGAAAUGCGUAGAGAUCUGGAGGAAUACCGGUGGCGAAGGCGGCCCCCUGGACGAAGACUGACGCUCAGGUGCGAAAGCGUGGGGAGCAAACAGGAUUAGAUACCCUGGUAGUCCACGCCGUAAACGAUGUCGACUUGGAGGUUGUGCCCUUGAGGCGUGGCUUCCGGAGCUAACGCGUUAAGUCGACCGCCUGGGGAGUACGGCCGCAAGGUUAAAACUCAAAUGAAUUGACGGGGGCCCGCACAAGCGGUGGAGCAUGUGGUUUAAUUCGAUGCAACGCGAAGAACCUUACCUGGUCUUGACAUCCACGGAAGUUUUCAGAGAUGAGAAUGUGCCUUCGGGAACCGUGAGACAGGUGCUGCAUGGCUGUCGUCAGCUCGUGUUGUGAAAUGUUGGGUUAAGUCCCGCAACGAGCGCAACCCUUAUCCUUUGUUGCCAGCGGUCCGGCCGGGAACUCAAAGGAGACUGCCAGUGAUAAACUGGAGGAAGGUGGGGAUGACGUCAAGUCAUCAUGGCCCUUACGACCAGGGCUACACACGUGCUACAAUGGCGCAUACAAAGAGAAGCGACCUCGCGAGAGCAAGCGGACCUCAUAAAGUGCGUCGUAGUCCGGAUUGGAGUCUGCAACUCGACUCCAUGAAGUCGGAAUCGCUAGUAAUCGUGGAUCAGAAUGCCACGGUGAAUACGUUCCCGGGCCUUGUACACACCGCCCGUCACACCAUGGGAGUGGGUUGCAAAAGAAGUAGGUAGCUUAACCUUCGGGAGGGCGCUUACCACUUUGUGAUUCAUGACUGGGGUGAAGUC